AGAGUUUGAUCCUGGCUCAGGAUGAACGCUGACAGAAUGCUUAACACAUGCAAGUCAACUUGAACUUCGGUUUGGGUGGCGGACGGGUGAGUAACGCGUAAAGAACUUGCCUCACAGCUAGGGACAACAUUUGGAAACGAAUGCUAAUACCUGAUAUUAUGAUUUUAGGGCAUCCUAGGAUUAUGAAAGCUAUAUGCGCUGUGAGAGAGCUUUGCGUCCCAUUAGCUAGUUGGAGAGGUAACGGCUCACCAAGGCGAUGAUGGGUAGCCGGCCUGAGAGGGUGAACGGCCACAAGGGGACUGAGACACGGCCCUUACUCCUACGGGAGGCAGCAGUGGGGAAUAUUGGACAAUGGACCAAGAGUCUGAUCCAGCAAUUCUGUGUGCACGAUGAAGUUUUUCGGAAUGUAAAGUGCUUUCAGUUGGGAAGAAAAAAAUGACGGUACCAACAGAAGAAGUGACGGCUAAAUACGUGCCAGCAGCCGCGGUAAUACGUAUGUCACAAGCGUUAUCCGGAUUUAUUGGGCGUAAAGCGCGUCUAGGUGGUUAUGUAAGUCUGAUGUGAAAAUGCAGGGCUCAACUCUGUAUUGCGUUGGAAACUGUGUAACUAGAGUACUGGAGAGGUAAGCGGAACUACAAGUGUAGAGGUGAAAUUCGUAGAUAUUUGUAGGAAUGCCGAUGGGGAAGCCAGCUUACUGGACAGAUACUGACGCUGAAGCGCGAAAGCGUGGGUAGCAAACAGGAUUAGAUACCCUGGUAGUCCACGCCGUAAACGAUGAUUACUAGGUGUUGGGGGUCGAACCUCAGCGCCCAAGCAAACGCGAUAAGUAAUCCGCCUGGGGAGUACGUACGCAAGUAUGAAACUCAAAGGAAUUGACGGGGACCCGCACAAGCGGUGGAGCAUGUGGUUUAAUUCGACGCAACGCGAGGAACCUUACCAG
rnacentral:rRNA from 1 species